rnacentral:rRNA from 1 species
GGGAGCUGCGAAGAAGCUUUGAUCCACGGAUUUCCGAAUGGGGAAACCCACCUUCGAUAGCCGGAACUCCAAGAUCUUGUAUCUUGGUGUUCAAGUUAUUCUGCUUGCAGGAUACUGGAAGCCAGACCGCGAGGUUUUGGAUUUCCGGUUAUCAAGCGAAGGUAUGAAACCUCUGAAUACAUAGGAGGUUUUAAGCAAACCCAGGGAACUGAAACAUCUAAGUACCUGGAGGAAAGGACAUCAACAGAGACUCCGGUAGUAGUGGCGAGCGAAUCCGGACCAGGCCAGUCAUGAAUGUGAGACAACCAGAACCUGUCAGGAAAGCAGGGCCUCAGAGGGUGAUAGCCCCGUAUGGGUAAUGCAAACAUUCAUGCUCGAGUAAGGCGGGACACGUGAAAUCCUGUCUGAACAUGGGGGGACCACCCUCCAAGCCUAAGUACUCCUCAGCGACCGAUAG